ACCGAACCCGUGUAAGUUGAAAAUUGCUGGGAUGAGGUGUGGAUAGCGGUGAAAUUCCAAACGAACUUGGAGAUAGCUGGUUCUCUCCGAAAUAGCUUUAGGGCUAGCCUCGGAAUUAGGAUCAUGGAGGUAGAGCACUAUUUGGACUAGGGGCCCGUCUUGGGUUACUGAAUUCAGAUAAACUCCGAAUGCCAUUGAUUCAUAUCCGGGAGUCAGACGAUGAGUGAUAAGAUCCACCGUCGAAAGGGGAACAGCCCAGACCAUCAGUUAAGGUCCCUAAAUGUAUGCUAAGUGGAAAAGGAUGUGGAGUUGCAUAGACAACUAGGAUGUUGGCUCAGAAGCAGCCACCAUUUAAAGAGUGCGUAAUAGCUCACUAGUCGAGUGAUCCUGCGCCGAAAAUGUACCGGGGCUAAGCAUACUACCGAAACCAUGGAUGCGACCAUUAGGUCGCGUGAUAGGAGAGCGUUCUAAGGGCGGUGAAGCAAGAUCGUGAGGACUUGUGGAGCGCUUAGAAGUGAGAAUGCCGGUAUGAGUAGCGAAAGAUAGGUGAGAAUCCUAUCCACCGAAUGACUAAGGUUUCCUGGGGAAGGCUCGUCCUCCCAGGGUUAGUCGGGACCUAAGUCGAGGCCGAGAGGCGUAGACGAUGGAUAACAGGUUGAGAUUCCUGUACUAGUUAAGUGCGUUUGAGCAAUGGAGGGACGCAGGAGGCUAAGAUGUGCAUUCUGUUGGAUUAGAAUGUCCAAGCAGUAAGUCUGGUGAAGAGUCAAAUGCUUUUCACUUUAAGGACAAGCUGUGAUGGGGAGCGAAAUUUAGUAGCGAAGCGUCUGAUGUCACACUGCCGAGAAAAGCUUCUAGUGAGUACUUAACUACCCGUACCGCAAACCGACACAGGUAGUCGAGGAGAGAAUCCUAAGGUGAGCGAGUGAACUCUCGUUAAGGAACUCGGCAAAAUGACCCCGUAACUUCGGGAGAAGGGGUGCUGAUCGCAAGAUCAGCCGCAGUGAAUAGGCCCAGGCGACUGUUUAUCAAAAACACAGGUCUCUGCAAAAUCGUAAGAUGACGUAUAGGGCUGACGCCUGCCCGGUGCUGGAAGGUUAAAAGGAUGGGUUAGCUUCGGCGA
rnacentral:rRNA from 2 species